AAACUGCCAUGGUGGUAUGCUGAACACAUGCAGUUGAACGAGAGCCUAGCUCUAGUAGCGGACGGGUGAGUAAUACGUGAGAAUCUACCUUUAGGAGGGGAAUAACAAUUGGAAACGAUUGCUAAUGCCCCAUAUGCUGUAAAGUGAAAUGAUAUUUCGCCUAAAGAUGAGCUCACGCCUGAUUAGCUUGUUGGUAGGGUAAUUGCCUACCAAGGCUACGAUCAGUAGCUGAUUUGAGAGGAUGAUCAGCCACACUGGAACUGAGACACGGUCCAGACUUCUACGGAAGGCAGCAGUGGGGAAUUUUCCGCAAUGGGCGCAAGCCUGACGGAGCAAUACCGCGUGAGGGAUGAAUGCCUAUGGGUUGUAAACCUCUUUUAUUGGGGAAGAAUUUUGACGGUACCCAAUGAAUAAGCAUCGGCUAACUCCGUGCCAGCAGCCGCGGUAAUACGGGGGAUGCAAGCGUUAUCCGGAAUCAUUGGGCGUAAAGAGUCUGUAGGUUGCAUAAUAAGUCUAUUGUUAAAUAUUAGAGCUCAACUUUAAGCAAGCAGUAGAAACUAUUAUGCUAGAGUAUGGUAGAGGUAGAUGGAAUUCCCAGUGUAGCGGUGAAAUGCGUAGAUAUUGGGAAGAACACCAGAGCGAAAGCGAUCUACUGGGCCAUAACUGACACUGAGAGACGAAAGCUAGGGGAGCAAAUGGGAUUAGAUACCCCCAGUAGUCCUAGCCGUAAACGAUGGAUACUAGAUGUUGUGCGUAUCGAUCCGUGCAGUAUCGUAGCUAACGCGUUAAGUAUCCCGCCUGGCAGUACGCUCGCAAGAGUGAAACUCAAUGAUUUGACGG
rnacentral:rRNA from 1 species